rnacentral:rRNA from 1 species
CCAAUAGCGUAUAUUAAAGUUGCUGCAGUUAAAAGGCUCGUAGUUGAAUUUCGGGACUAAUAUGUCGGUCGUGCCUCGGUACGUACUGGUAUUUUUGGUUUCUCCCUUCUGACGAACCUUGAUGUCAUUAAUUUGGUGUCUUGGGAAAUCAGGACUGUUACUUUGAAAAAAUUAGAGUGUUUAAAGCAGGCUCACGCUUGAAUACAUUAGCAUGGAAUAAUGAAAUAGGACGUUUGAUUCUAUUUUGUUGGUUUCUAGGAUCGACGUAAUGAUUAAUAGGGAUAGUUGGGGGCAUUAGUAUUCAAUUGUCAGAGGUGAAAUUCUUGGAUUUAUUGAAGACUAACUACUGCGAAAGCAUUUGCCAAGGAUGUUUUCAUUAAUCAAGAACGAAAGUUAGGGGAUCGAAGACGAUCAGAUACCGUCGUAGUCUUAACCAUAAACUAUGCCGACUAGGGAUCGGAUGAUGUUAAUUUUUUAAUGACUCAUUCGGCGCCUUACG